AACGGCUAUACCAUGCUGAAUAUACCGGUUCUCGUUAGAGCAUCAUUGGGCGCGGUCAGUACUUGGGUGGGUGACUACCUGGGAACACAGCGUGCCGUU